UACGUAGGGGGCAAGCGUUGUUCGGAAUUACUGGGCGUAAAGCGCACGUAGGCGGAUGUGUCAGUCAGGGGUGAAAUCCCGGAGCUCAACUUCGGAACUGCCUUUGAUACAGCACGUCUUGAGUCCGAUAGAGGUGGGUGGAAUUCCUAGUGUAGAGGUGAAAUUCGUAGAUAUUAGGAAGAACACCGGUGGCGAAGGCGGCCCACUGGUCCGGUACUGACGCUGAGGUGCGAAAGCGUGGGGAGCAAACAGG
rnacentral:rRNA from 1 species